GGGCGGUUAGCUCAAUUGGCAGAGCGACUCUUUGACGUAGAGUAGGCAAGAGGUUCGAAUCCUCUACCGCCCA
rnacentral:tRNA from 1 species